rnacentral:rRNA from 1 species
AGUGAACGCUGGCGGCAGGCCUAACACAUGCAAGUCGAACGGCAGCACAGUAAGAUUUUGCCUUUACGGGUGGCGAGUGACGGAUGGGUGAGAAAUACAUCGCAAUCUUCUUUUUCGUGGGGGACAACGGAGGGCAAGUGACGCUAAUACCUCAUACUUCCUACCGGUGGAAUCAAGAGAUCAUGGGGCCUUUGCCGACACAAUUAGCUGAUGUCGGAUUAGCUAGUUGGGAGGGUAAGGUCCCACCAAGGCGACGAUGCGUAGCUGGUCUGAGAGGAUGAUCAGCCACACUGGAACUGAGACACGGUCCAGACUCCUACGGGAGGCGGCAGUGGGGAAUAUUGGACAAUGGGCGAAAGCCUGAUGCAGCAAUGCCGCGUGGGUGAAGAAGGCCUUCGGGUUGUAAAACCCUGUUGUUGGGGAAGAAAAGAAGCGGAUUAAUACGCCGCUGUUCUGACGGUACCCAAAGAGUAAGCACCGGCUAACUUCGUG